rnacentral:rRNA from 1 species
UACGUAGGGUGCAAGCGUUGUCCGGAAUUAUUGGGCGUAAAGAGCUCGUAGGCGGUUUGUCGCGUCUGCUGUGAAAACUGGGGGCUCAACCCCCAGCCUGCAGCGGGUACGGGCAGACUAGAGUGCGGUAGGGGAGAUUGGAAUUCCUGGUGUAGCGGUGGAAUGCGCAGAUAUCAGGAGGAACACCGAUGGCGAAGGCAGAUCUCUGGGCCGUAACUGACGCUGAGGAGCAAAAGCAUGGGGAGCGAACAGG